UACGUAGGGCGCAAGCGUUUAUCCGGAAUUAUUGGGCGUAAAGAGCUCGUAGGCGGUUUGUCGCGUCUGCCGUGAAAGUCCGGGGCUCAACUCCGGAUCUGCGGUGGGUACGGGCAGACUAGAGUGCAGUAGGGGAGACUGGAAUUCCUGGUGUAGCGGUGGAAUGCGCAGAUAUCAGGAGGAACACCGGUGGCGAAGGCGGGUCUCUGGGCUGUAACUGACGCUGAGGCACGAAAGCGUGGGGAGCAAACAGG
rnacentral:rRNA from 1 species